UCCCUGGUGGCUCAGAUGGUAAAGCAUCUACCUGCAAUGCAGAAGACCCAGGUUUCAAUUCCUGGGUCGGGAG
rnacentral:tRNA from 1 species